UACGGGGGGAGCAAGCGUUGUUCGGAUUUACUGGGCGUAAAGGGCGCGUAGGCGGUCAGCACAAGUCAGUUGUGAAAUCUCCGGGCUUAACUCGGAAAGGUCAACUGAUACUGUGCGACUAGAGUGCGGAAGGGGCAACUGGAAUUCUUGGUGUAGCGGUGAAAUGCGUAGAUAUCAAGAGGAGCACCUGCGGCGAAGGUGGGUUGCUGGGCCGACACUGACGCUGAGGCGCGAAAGCCAGGGGAGCGAACGGG
rnacentral:rRNA from 1 species